CCUACGGGAGGCAGCAGUGGGGAAUAUUGGGCAAUGGACGCAAGUCUGACCCAGCAACGCCGCGUGAAGGAAGAAGGCUUUCGGGUUGUAAACUUCUUUUAAGGGGGAAGAGCAGAAGACGGUACCCCUUGAAUAAGCCACGGCUAACUACGUGCCAGCAGCCGCGGUAAUACGUAGGUGGCAAGUGUUGUCCGGGUUUACUGGGUGAAAGGGGUGCGCAGGGGGAUUUUUAAGUCAGCGGUAAAAUCGUGGGGCUAAACCCCAGCCUGCCGUUGAAACUGGGGAUCUAGAGUGUGCUAGGGGUAUGCGGAAUGCGUGGUGUAGCGGUGAAAUGCAUAGAUAUCACGAAGAACCCCGAUUGCGAAGGCAGCAUACCGGUGCACAACUGACGCUCAGGCACGAAAGCGUGGGUAUCGAACAGGAUUAGAUACCCUUGUAGUC
rnacentral:rRNA from 1 species